AUUGAACGCUGGCGGCAUGCUUUACACAUGCAAGUCGAACGGUAACAGGGAGCUUGCUCCGCUGACGAGUGGCGAACGGGUGAGUAAUGCGUCGGAACGUGCCGAGUAGUGGGGGAUAACGCAUCGAAAGGUGUGCUAAUACCGCAUACGUACUGAGGUAGAAAGUGGGGGACCUUCGGGCCUCACGCUAUUCGAGCGGCCGACGUCUGAUUAGCUAGUUGGUGAGGUAAAGGCUCACCAAGGCGACGAUCAGUAGCGGGUCUGAGAGGAUGAUCCGCCACACUGGGACUGAGACACGGCCCAGACUCCUACGGGAGGCAGCAGCGGGGAAUUUUGGACAAUGGGCGCAAGCCUGAUCCAGCCAUGCCGCGUGUCUGAAGAAGGCCUUCGGGUUGUAAAGGACUUUUGUCCGGGAGCAAAUACCCAGUGCUAAUAACGCUGGGGGCUGAGAGUACCGGAAGAAUAAGCACCGGCUAACUACGUGCCAGCAGCCGCAGUAAAAC
rnacentral:rRNA from 1 species